AAGUCGAUCCCAAAUACUUAAGAUCUUUGCGCAAUCAGUUUCUUUGUUGAAUUAAUGAGACGAACAUUGAACUCUUAUAAAAAAAAUUAACCAAAGUUGGGAAAAAUCAUUAAAGGCAUGAAUUGACAUCUCAAAACUUGAGGACUUUUGUGGGAUUGUUGAGAAAAUUAAGGGGAGAUUAUUUAAACAUUAUUUAUUUACUUGUAUGUGUAUUUUUUUUUUUACUUCUUCAAGUAAAUAAAAAUAACUUGUACAAGUAGUACCCCUCAC
rnacentral:lncRNA from 1 species